GCGGCGUGCCAUUGCCAGAUUAGCUGGGUGCUAAAGAGAUUGAUCCUGCUGUCUGUUUGGGACGUCAGAUCUCUCAGGAGGAUGACAGGUGAGGAUAGCAGGACUUCCUAACAAUGGUCCUUCCUUUGCUAUGUGUGGUCAUGGCAUUGAUCAGGAGGCAGGUUGGCCAGCCAGCAGGGUACUUGGAAGUUUCUGUGACUUGGGCUUUUAAAAAUGUGUGCAAUCCCUGUCUACUUGGGUUAGGGCUUAGCUGGGGCAUUGCUUGGCUUACAUGGCCCGAGAUGCAAUGAGGUCAGAAUCACCUCUCAAGAGUCUACUUACAAAAGGUUUCUGCUUUUAUUUACUUGAUCCUAGGGCUUCAUUAAGAAUGGGUUUCCGCGGCUGAAGAGCAGAUCAGUGUUGUGCUUCGGCAGUGGGUUGUAUCUGCCCAGAAAAGAUUCACAAAGCUGAGCCCAUUAGAGCUGAAAGAUGCUGUAGCGAUCCUCCUGUCCAUGAGUUUCUGACCCUGGAUUCACUUGCACAGUGUUUUACCAAAAUAUGGAUAUUUUCCAUCAAGUGUAUUCCUAUAACAAAAACCAUUCAGUGACUAAAACAAAGGAAAUCAGCCUCCAUGGAAAUAUUAUUAAAAUUAUCUAAAAUAAAUCUUAACAGUAAAUAAAGUUUCCAAAAAGAAACUCCAAAACACAGUCGCCGCCCCCACGAUGUGCCUGUGAUCUGGCCUGUUGCAGAACUGUUUUGAAUUGCAUACCUUCUCCAGGUCUCCAGUUUACAUGGUCCCACCAGUCCCUGAUUGUUUUACUUAUUUGUAUUACUUGCCUGGCCCUGUACAUUUGAAUUUGCGGCCUUUGAUAAGGGCCUAAAGUUUAGUAAGAGGUUCUUACUGUCUUUGUUUGGGCUAACACCUAUUACACAGGGGUUUAUACUCACAGAAUCUGUUGGGGGUUGGGAUGGGGCAAUCUCCCAAAGUGUGAAGUAAGUUCAGUUGAAGCUGCAUUGGAAAGGCUGCGGGGGGCUCAGCCAGAUUUCGAAGAAAGGUUGGCUGUUUGAUCUUGAGUUAGAGGCGAGUGAAUGACAUCUUCCUAAAGCAAAAUAAGAAAUGUAAAGAUGAUCAAGCAGUGAUUGGUAACAGUUGUAGAUUUAUUUGAAUGGUUUUAAUGGGAUUUUCUAAAGGCAAUGGUAUUCUGAAAUUUCUAAAUAUAUCUCCUGCUGCUGCUGCUAAGUCGCUUCAGUCGUGUCCGACUCUGUGCGACCCCAUAGAUGGCAGCCCACCAGGCUCCCCCAUCCCU